rnacentral:lncRNA from 1 species
UUUUUUUUUUUUUUUUUGCUCUUUAGGGCCACACCUGUGGCAUAUGGAAGUUCCCAGGCUAGGGGUCGAAUUAGAGCUACAGUUGCUGGCCUACACCACAGCCACAGCAACACAGGAUCCGAGCUGCAUCUGUGACCUACACCACAGCUCAUGGCAACGCCGGACCCUUAACCCACUGAACAAGGCCAGGGACGGAACCUGCAACCUCACGGUUUCUAGUUGGAUUCGUUUCUGCUGUGCCACGACGGAAACUCCAGUUAAGACUUUCUUGGGUCUUUUCUCUGUUAGCUAGUGUAGUCUCUCUUUCUACCUGCUUUAUAUUACAAACAGAUCUGAAUAAGCACAUUUAUUAUUAAAGACUGAUAAGGCUUUCUCCGAGAUGUUGAAAAACACACCGAACAGUGCAGAGCUGAGGUCAAAGACUGGUGGAACGCCAAAACUACCUGAAGACAGACUUAGUAAAUGGCUCUAGCUGACUCUACUAUGAUCUAGUCCAGUGGCUGGAGUUUCCUUGGUGCCUUUCUACCCAUCUCCCUAAAUCCAUCUGACAAGCUCAGAUUCAGUGCCAUCUCUUUCCUGAACCAUGCUCUGAUCAUUGCAGCAGCAGUCUCUCUCCUUCUGUUUAAUUUCCUGUAAUAUUCUGUUUGUACUACUGUGGAGACAUUGAUCUCAUACUACCUUGAAUUAUGAUCAUUCAUGUAUGUGUCUCAGUAUCUGUUCUAAACCAUAAGAAACUUAAAAGAGGAACUGUGGGAGUUCCCACUAUGGCACAGUGGGUUAAGAAUCCAACUGCAGCUCUUCAGGUCACUGCAGAGGCAUGGGUUCAAUCCCCAGUCUGGCACAGUAGCUUCCAAAGAUCUGGUGUUGUCAUAGCUGCUAUAUAGGUAACAGCUGGGGCUCAGAUUCAAUCCCUAGCCCAGGAACCUCCAUAUGCCAUGGGUGUGGCCAUUAAAAAAAAAUAAACAUGCAGUGUGAUUUCUUUGAUGAUUUUGCCUCAGAAUUUAGGUGUGCUUCAUAGAGAAAUAAAAUAUUCAGUGCUGUUAAAAUUACUAUUAAAUCUCAUACCCUCAGGGGCUAUAUAUCUGAAAAACUGUGACAAAUACUUAAAAUAAAUUGAAAUCGUCCAUAUCAAAAACCCUGCUAGAAUAGAUACCUCUCCCCAGUCUUCUUCAAUUAUUCAUGGCAAAAAUUUGCAAAAGCAUCACAAAUUGUGUGUUUAAAGUUUAGAGAAUGAAUCAUUUUAGAGUUUUCAAACCAGUCUUACUAGCUUGAAGUUAAUGUUUCUUGCAACUGCAUUUCCUUGUUUUGAUUCCAUCUGUCUUGGUCCAACGCUUGGUAACUGCUCUGCCUUUUUGUGUUGCUUUGAUGCUUCCAGGUGUGUUUUUGUAGCUAUGUUCCUCCAUCCCUCCAUAUGAUUGACUGUAGCCCAAUCAUACCUCUUCUCUCUGCACCAUGUCACAGAAUCACCUUAAUGAAAGGAUGGACAAUAACUGUUUUUGGUAUUUUUCCAUUUCAGGGGAUGAACACACUGAAUGUGUGUAUAGAAAUGUAGAGGGCUUUGCAUUUGGUUUGCAAUAUAAAGAUAUGUAAUUUCUAAAUCAUGAUUUCCACACUGUGGCUGGAAAGGGAUUACAAUCUCCUCCUUGUGAUUUUCAUCAUUUACUCAACAAAUAUUUCCUCCUGAGCGUUCACCAUGUGCUAAUUAAUUGCACUGUUCUAGAUGUUGAAGAUACAGGGAGUCCGCCCUCUCAAUGAACUUACAUUCCAAUGGGGAAGAGAGAUGGAAAAUAACUUUGUACAUAAAUUUUGUUGUUGAUGUUGUUCUUUGGGGUCCCAUCUGCGGCAUAUGGAAGGUCACAGGCGAGGGCUCGCAUUGGAGCUGCAGCUUCUGGCCUACACCACAGCUCAUGGCCAUGCAGGAUCCGAGCCAUGUCUUCGACAUACACCACAACUCACGUGUCAUACUGGAUCCUUAACCCACUGAGCAAGCCCAGGAAUUGAACCUGAGUCCUCGUGGAUACUAGUCGGGUUUGUUUCCACUGAGCCACGAUGAGAACUCUUGUACAUAAAAUCUUUUCUGACAGGUGUUAAGAAAAGAAUUAAAGUCUAAGUUGCUCAUUUUCAAGGCUAGAAUCCCUUGGACCAUAAUGAAUAUUUCUGAACUAAAAAUUCACACUUUAUAAUUCUACACUUACGCUAAUAUAUGUUCAAUACUGCUAUUUCUCAACAGCUGGCUGCCACCUCAGAUCACUGCCCACCCCAAACUUUCCUACUCAGUAAUCCAACAUUUUGUUGGAGUCACAUUGUUCCCAUGGGAUUUAGAGGUUAAUCUGAGUCCUUUAUACCAAUCAGGGUAAUCUUAUUCUCUUUGAUUCUGCCGGCCUACACCACAGCCAUAGCUAUGCGGAUCCUAGCCUCAUCUGCAACCUACACCACAGCUCAUGGCAACGCCGGAUCCCCAACUCACUGAGCAAGGCCAGAGAUCGAACCCACAUCCUCAUGGAUAUUAGUCAGAUUCGUUUCUGCUGUGCCACAAAGGGAACUCCGACACAGGCUUUUGAGAAAGAUUUCCUGGCUUGUAAAAGAAGAAGACUCAGGAAAAAAAAUGGUCUUCUCUACCCCUGGAAACCUGGUGGUGUUCUGGUUGGUCUUGCACCUGUGACAUCAUCUUGCAACUCCAAAGAAGCCAGCUCAGGUAUACAGCCUAUGUGCCAAGAAGUCACAGGAGAAAAAGAGAAAGAAAUGAUUUUUUUCUUUUUUUUUUUUUUUUUUUACAGUCGCAUCUGCGGCAUAUUGACAUUCCUGGGCUAGGAGUUGAAUUGGAACUACAGCUGCCUGCCUAAACUAUAGCCACAGCAACACGGGUUUGAGCCACAUCUUCGACCUAUGGCCAUAGCUGUGGCAAUCCCAGAUCCUUAACCGACUGAGCCAGGCCAGGGAUCAAACCCACAUCUUCAUGGGGACUCUGUUGGGUUCUUAACCUGCUGAGCCACAAUGGGAACUCCAGAAAUGAUCUUGUUGACGACAGAGUUGAGCCAUGAAACUGCCCAACCCUGGAGGCACCCCAUUUUGAGUCCUCUUGUUCUGUGAGAUAAAUGCCUUUUCUGUUUCCAGCAGCCUAGAGCAUUUUCACAGAUAAAAGUAGAUACAAAUGCACAUACAUAGUGAGCAGUCUGGCUGACUGAUUAAAUGUAUAUGUAGGAAUAAAUUAUCUCCCCCCUCCAUUCAUGAUUGUCAUAUUUAUUUUUACCUCAGGCAAAAGGAACAGUAGAAUUAGAAAAUUUCAGGAUUGAAAAUAAAUAUCUGAAUUUGCUACAAUUAAAAAAAUGAAUUCAAUACGUAGUGGUAUUACAGUAAAAUAAAAGAGAUGCCUACAAAUUUGUUAACUGCUGAGGACAUAGUAUGACAUCAAAUAAACCAAUUUUUCUUUAAGUUCUUU